rnacentral:rRNA from 1 species
CCUACGGGGUGCAGCAGUGGGGAAUAUUGCACAAUGGGGGAAACCCUGAUGCAGCGACGCCGCGUGAGUGAAGAAGUAUCUCGGUACGUAAAGCUCUAUCAUCAGGGAAGAAAAUGACGGUACCUGACUAAGAAGCCCCUGCUAACUACUUGCCAGCAGCCGCGGUAAUACGUAGGGGGCAAGCGUUAUCCGGAUUUACUGGGUGUAAAGGGAGCGUAGACGGCAGCACAAGUCUGGAGUGAAAUCCCGGGGCUUAACCCCGGAGCUGCGUUGGAAACUGGGCGGCUGGAGUGCAGGAGGGGUAAGCGGAAUUCCUAGUGUAGCGGUGAAAUGCGUAGAUAUUAGGAGGAACACCGGUGGCGAAGGCGGCUUACUGGACUGUAACUGACGUUGAGGCUCGAAAGCGUGGGGAGCAAACAGGAUUAGAUACCCCGGUAGUC